GUGCACCGUGCGUACAGUAAGUGAGUAAAACUCGAUAGUGUCAUGCUAAUUUGUUUUUGGCAGUUAUCAACCAUUCAUAUUUUUUUGGCAGUGAUUUGUUGAUUUAUGGUUGACGAUUCAGGAGGGCAGAGGAGGCUGGUGGGCGGAGCUAUAGGAGGACGGGCUCAUUGUAAUGGCUGGAAUGGAAUGGUAUCAAACACAUCAAACAUAUGGAAACCACAUUUGACCCCGCCCCCUUUAUUUCAUUCCAGACAUUACAAUGAGGAUGUCCUCCUAUAGCUCCUCCCACCAGCCUCCACUGAAUGAGGGGUGAGGCUUGAGGCUCAGGGUGUCCUAAAAGGAACACCGUAUCACAGGGAUUGAGUUAGCUAGCGUCCUACAAGAAGAAUUGACAGUCAUCAACCACUCAUCUUUUUUGGCAAUCUUUUUUUAAGCUACAGUUGUUUUUUUUGCAUGUCUAACAUAGCAUAUGACUCAUUGCAGAAUUUAAGGAAGAGGAUGGUGAUGAUGAAGAUGACCUUAUCAGAGCCCAAAAGCCCCUCUAUGGAGUUGGAGUUAGAGGGUGGAGUGGAGGAGCUCAGGAAGGACAAACAGAUUUAUCAGAAGAGAGCGUUGCUACUCCUUCGACAGCCGUUCCAGAACUUUCUACAGAGCUUCCUUCUCCAGGAGACUUUCACCGUCGACCUCCACAAGGGCCUUUACAUCCUGGAAUCCAAAGCCCAUCUCUAUAGCAACAGAGACAUCAUUCAUACUCUCACCCUGGGAUACCAGCAACCCAGUCCUUUUGUGAGUCCAGGACCACUUGUGUUUCUGGGCCCAUAUUCACAAAGGUCUCAGAGUAGGAGUGCUGAUCUAGGAUCAGGUCCUACUAAUGUCAAUAUAAUAAUAUGGUCGUUCCUGAAUUUGUAGUUAUUUAAAUGUAUUUAGGUACACCUUCCCAUUCUAAAUCAACCAAUAUUAAUAUUAAUGACUUUAAAUAAUUUGGACCUUUAUGAUAACAUUGUGUCACCAGUAGGAGUAGUAACACAAAUUAUGGUAACACCCAUGAGAAAUGUUAGGUUAUUGAGGAUUUUCUUAAGUGGAGGCCACAGAUGGUCAAAUGUAAGUGUAACAGUAUAGCUUCCGUCCCUCUCCUCGCCUCAACCUGGGCUUGAACCAGGGACCCUCUGCACACAUCAACUGACACCCACAGAAGCAUCAUUACCCAUCGCGCCACAAAAGCCACGGCCCUUGCACAACUACUCCAAGGCCUCAGAGCGAGUGACGUCACCGAUUGAAACACUAUUAGCGCGCACCACCGCUAACUAGCUAGCCAUUUCACAUCAGUUACAUAAGGUCAUUAACCUUUUUGAAAAUGAUUUACUAAAGUGACAUGAUUAAUCAUUUUGCUCACAUUGUUAUUUCCCUUCAUUUAAAUUGAGCAACACGAAAGUGACACUUUGGAUUUAGACACCAAAUGAUCAAUGGAAUCCUCAAUUUGAAGACAUACUAAAAGGGUGUGAUUAGCUAAUCAUUUUAUUGAACAUAUACCCCUCCCCCGAUAACAGUUUUCCACUGGAGGGAAUGCUCGAGGUACUUGUAUAUCACUGCAAUAAGUGAUUUUCAAGGCGUUGACACCGAUGACAUAAAACUGAGGGACAGACAUUAUACUAGUAAAAAAUAAUAAUAAUAGCCUUCUUUGUUUCUAUUGAUUUAUACAAUAUAUUAAAUCAUUUUGUUCACUUUCUAGCCUUCAAAGUAAUAAACACGGUCAGGUCCAAAAUGAUUGGCACUCAUGAUAAAGAUGAGCAGAAUGAACUGAUGAACUGACCCUGAACACAGGGGUGUGUCCCAGGGGUGUGUCCUUUCACCGUUGUUGUUCUCUAUCUACACUAACGAGAUGAAGAGCAGAGGAAACAAUGUAAGCCUUUUUAAGUACGCGGAUGACAUGGCUCUGGUAGGAAUCUUUUUAAAAGAUGCUACGUCAGAUGGGGACUAAACAGACCAACAACGUUCCAGAAUGGUGCCCGGUCAAGUUUCCUCCCCAUCAUCGUGGAAAAGACAAAGGCGCUGAUCAUCAAUGGCAACAACUGUCCGCAACCGCUCUCUCUGAACGACCAACCAGUAGAGGUGGUUGAGUGUUUUAAAUACCUAGGGACAUAAAAUGAUAACAGUCUGAGUUUUACAGAGAAUGCAGAGUGUAUAUUUUAAAAAGCAAGGCAAAGUCUGUUCUUAAUCAGGAAAUUAAAAGGGUUUGGGGUCAACCAGGAUGUUCUGGAGAGGGUGUACAGCAGCUUGGUGGGGAGCAUCCUCAUCCUCAAUAUGACAGUCUGGUAAUCUGAGUGUGAGGAGCAAAAGCAAACUGACCAGAAUAGUAAGCACAGCCGGCAAAGUAAUUGGUCGACCACAGGCACAUUUGAGCAUUCUGUUCCACGAGGCAACCAAAAAGAAGACACUGGCUGUUGUUUUCAAUGGAGGGUCAUGUCCGGAGACUUGCUGAAAUGUUGAUCAUGUGGUCAGUUAACUUACGGCUGGCUUAGUUUCAGCCUCCUGACAGAGGCAACUUAAAUGUCCUGGUACUGGGUAAAGUUCAUAAUGCCGUUGAACUUAGCAAGGGCCCCAGGACCAGUGGAUGCAAAAUAUUGAAACAGGUGUGCCAAUAAUCUUGACCCCUAUCUUUUUGAGAAUUUUGUUCUAUUACUUGUUAAAUAAAAUAUAUUUCUCUGAGCAAUUGUAUUAGCAUAAAAUAAUAGAAUUUCCCCUCUUUUGGGGGGAAUACAAUGUAGCUGUAAGGAUCGACGCUGGUAGAGACGAGAAGCAGGUACAGGGAGUGAACAUAUAAUUAUCAACGGACAUGGAACAGGACAGGAUAGCGUCUGGCCAUCAACACAUAAUGACAUUAAUGCAGAUACAGGGAACAGAAGGGGGAGCAGACAGUUAUAGACAGGACAAUCGACAAAAGGAAGGAGUCCAUGUGAGUCCAAAGAGCGCUGCUGCGCGUAAUGAUGGUGACAGGUGCGCGUAAUGAAGGGCAGCCCGGUGCCCUCCAGCGCCAGAGAGGGAGAGCGGGAGCAGGCGUGACAGGCGCUCAGUAUUUGUAUUAUUUAUUUCAUACAAACUUUCUUGCUCAUCUUUAUCAAAUGUGCAAAUAAUUGACUGACUGACUGUAGAUAUCUCUAAAUCCCCAAAAUAUCACUGUAACUCUACACAUCACUACUGGGACAAGCCAAUUUGCCUACCCUAACAACUGCAUAAACAUAAAGUGUUGCAGUAUAACCAACUUGGAUUAUUGUCAUUGGUAAACAGUUCAAUACAAACAGAAACAUGUAUGAUGUGUAACUAUUUGCUAUUUUAAAGUGUUUUUUCAUGGUUGCAAAGGCAAGGCAAGGCAAGGCAAAAUGCCGGCGCAAUUCAAGAACGAC
rnacentral:lncRNA from 13 species